GCCGCGGUAGCUCAGCCUUGGUGGAGCGCCGGACUCAUAAUCCGGAGGUCCCGGGUUCGAAUCCCGGCCGCGGCA
rnacentral:tRNA from 2 species